rnacentral:rRNA from 1 species
ACCCGCACAAGCGGUGGAUGAUGUGGAUUAAUUCGAUGCAACGCGAAAACCUUACCUACCCUUGACAUGUCCGGAAUCCCGAAGAGAUUUGGGAGUGCUCGCAAGAGAACCGGAACACAGGUGCUGCAUGGCUGUCGUCAGCUCGUGUCGUGAGAUGUUGGGUUAAGUCCCGCAACGAGCGCAACCCUUGUCAUUAGUUGCCAUCAUUUGGUUGGGCACUCUAAUGAGACUGCCGGUGACAAACCGGAGGAAGGUGGGGAUGACGUCAAGUCCUCAUGGCCCUUAUGGGUAGGGCUUCACACGUCAUACAAUGGUCGGUACAGAGGGUUGCCAAGCCGCGAGGUGGAGCCAAUCCCAGAAAGCCGAUCGUAGUCCGGAUUGUUCUCUGCAACUCGAGAGCAUGAAGUCGGAAUCGCUAGUAAUCGCGGAUCAGCAUGUCGCGGUGAAUACGUUCCCGGGUCUU